rnacentral:rRNA from 1 species
GAUGAACGCUCGCUACAGGCUUAACACAUGCAAGUCGAGGGGAAACGACAUCGAAAGCUUGCUUUUGAUGGGCGUCGACCGGCGCACGGGUGAGUAACGCGUAUCCAACCUGCCCAUCACUUGGGAAUAACCUUGCGAAAGUAAGACUAAUACCCAAUGACAUCCCACGAAGACAUCUGAAUGGGAUUAAAGAUUUAUCGGUGAUGGAUGGGGAUGCGUCUGAUUAGCUUGUUGGCGGGGUAACGGCCCACCAAGGCAACGAUCAGUAGGGGUUCUGAGAGGAAGGUCCCCCACAUUGGAACUGAGACACGGUCCAAACUCCUACGGGAGGCAGCAGUGAGGAAGAUUGGUCAAUGGGCGAGAGCCUGAACCAGCCAAGUAGCGUGCAGGAUGACGGCCCUAUGGGUGGUAAACUGCUUUUAUAAGGGAAUAAAGUGGGUCUCGUGAGACUUUUUGCAGGUACCUUAUGAAUAAGGACCGGCUAAUUCCGUG